ACGCGAGGAACCUUACCCGGGCUCAAACGCAUAAUGACGACAGUUGAAAGAUUGUUUCCCCUCGGGGCAUUAUGCGAGGUGCUGCAUGGUUGUCGUCAGCUCGUGCCGUGAGGUGUCGGCUUAAGUGCCAUAACGAGCGCAACCCCUAUCGACAGUUGCUAACGAGUAAAGUCGAGGACUCUGUCGAGACUGCCGGCGCAAGCUGUGAGGAAGGCGGGGAUGACGUCAAAUCAGCACGGCCCUUACGUCCGGGGCGACACACGUGUUACAAUGGCAGGGACAGCGGGAAGCCACCAAGCGAUUGGGCGCGGAACCCGAAACCCUGUCUCAGUUCGGAUUGGAGUCUGCAACUCGACUCCAUGAAGCUGGAUUCGCUAGUAAUCGCGCAUCAGCCAUGGCGCGGUGAAUACGUUCCCGGGCCUUGUACACACCGCCCGUCAAGCCAUGGGAGUCGGGAGUGCCUGAAGUUCGUGACCGUAUAGGAGCGACCUAGGGCAAGACUGAUGACUGGGGCUAAGUCGUAACAAGGUAACCGU
rnacentral:rRNA from 1 species